rnacentral:rRNA from 1 species
AGAUUGAACGCUGGCGGUAGGCCUAACACAUGCAAGUCGAGCGCGAAAGUGCCUUCGGGUGCGAGUAGAGCGGCGGACGGGUGCGUAACGCGUAGGAAUCUGCCUGGUAGUGGGGGAUAACUCGGGGAAACUCGAGCUAAUACCGCAUACGCCCCAUGGGGGAAAGCGGGGGACCUUCGGGCCUCGCGCUAUCAGAUGAGCCUGCGUCGGAUUAGCUAGUUGGUAGGUAAUGGCCUACCAAGGCGACGAUCCGUAGCUGGUCUGAGAGGAUGAUCAGCCACACUGGGACUGAGACACGGCCCAGACUCCUACGGGAGGCAGCGAGUGGGGAAUAGUUGGACAAGUGGGGGACAACCCGUGAUCCAAGCCAUACCGCGUGUGUGAAGAAGGCCUUCGGGUUGUAAG